CGAGGGGCACACAGGUACAGGAUCACGCGUUGCGCCUCGCAAGUGACGCCCAUGGCCACGGCGGGAGCAGCCGUUUGCUUUUUUGGCGCAAAAUCACGGCGUCACCUAAAUAUCAAUAGUAUAGAAGAAAGAAGAUAAUUAAAAUGGAAAAGAAGAAAAAGAAAGGAUCCUGGAAGCCACAGAGCUUACAAACUGCUAUUGAUAAGGUUAUGUCAAAAGAACUGAAUGUAAGACAAGCUGCAAUGCAAUACAAUAUUCCUAAAAGCACUAUACAUGAUAAAAAAAGGCCCUAAUUGAGGAGAAGAAGUAACAAUAAAACCAAAGUUAGGUAGGUUCACUAGCACCUUCUCAGCAGAGUAUGAACAAGUCUUGGUG